ensembl:lncRNA
GUGGCACAUGGAUGUUCCCAGGCUAGGGGUCCAAUGGGAGCUGUAGCCACCAGCCUACACCAUAGCCACAGCAAUGCAGGAUCCAAGGUGUGUCUCUGAUCUACACCACAGCUCACAGCAAUGCCAGAUCCUUAACCCACUGAGGAAGGCCAGGGAUUGAAUCCACACCCUCGUGGUUCCUAGUUGGAUUUGUUAACCACCGAGCCGUGACGGGAACUCCUACUGUGACAUUUUUGAUUCGCCUAUUCCAGAUGGGCUGUGCUACAUCAUGCUGCCCCUUCUUGUGAACUGGAUUUCAAGAGCAACCAGUUCUUUUACAAAGACAUCAAUAUUUAUGAUCUCACUGGUUUCACUAAUUCAACUAUCAUUUAGUGAACACCUACCUUGUGACAAGUUAUGCUAUAAGUACUGAAGAUAAAAAAUUAAAUAACACUCUGUCUUUUCCUCACACUAGAUGGUAGGUGCUCUCCUCAGAGCCUGCUGCAUCCCUCAGGGCCCCAGAGAUGCUGAUUUCUGAGUCCUCACUUCCUUAGGAGGGUAAUGCUCCCCUUGCCUUCCUUGCCUUUCAGGAUUAGAAGAUUGAGUUAUGGAGAUCUGAGUUCUGGUCUCUCUGGCAUCAGGCCAUUCUGAAAGGUCCUUUCCUUUCAGGCAGAAAACCGACAAAGUCAGGCACUUUGCUCUGAGGCUUUCAUUUGCGUUUCUAAGUUGAUUGCCUAAAACUGAGACCACUUUCCCUGUGGGGAGAGGGAUGGACUGGGCUUCUUAAAGUGUGUGUGUGUGUGUGUGUGUAGUGUGGGUGGGGUAAUAGGACCCUGUGUCCUUCUUUGAUGUUGUCCCCUUAGGGAGCCCUUAUUAGAGCCUUCUCUAGCCUUCUUCUCUCUAGUCCCUUGUAACUAGCUUCACCUCUGUCACUUUCUCCUUUCACUCCACUGGCCUCCAAGGUGUUUAGCCAGCCAAGCUUGCUCCCUCCUUAUGGCCUUUAUGUUCUGUGUCCCUUCUGUGUGGGCCACUCUCCCCUGAGUCAUGAGGUUAACCUCUGACUUCCUUCAGGUCUUUACUCACCUUCUCUGUGAGGCCUUCCAUGGCCACUCUUUCAAAACUGUCAGCCUUUCAUCCCGAUGCUCUAUACAUUUCCCUGCUCUACUAUGUCUCCUGAGCACUCGCUAUUGUUUACUUAAUUUCUGCUAGAAACAGAGCGGAAUGGACAAUAAAAGACAGAUAAUCUCCAGGGGAACAUGGAUUUUUGUCUGUUUGUUUCUUUCUUUUUUUUCUUUUUACAGCUGCACCUGUGGCACAUGGAAGAUCCAGGGCUAGGGCCUGAACCAAAGCUGCAGCUGAGCCCUAUGCCACAGCCAUGGCAACAUCUAAAACCUGUGCUGCAGCUUAUGGCAGUGCUGGAUCUUUAACACAGUGAGUGAGGCUAGGGUUCAAACCUGCAUCCUUACAGAGACUGUGCUGGGUCCUUAACUCCCUGAGCCACAAUAGGAACUCCUGUCUGUUUUUUUCAUACUCUGUCUUAUAGAAUAGUUCUUUGUACAUGGUACAUUCUUUAGUAAGUAUUUGUUAAGUGAAUGAAUAAUGACAAAAUUCCCUAAGUCUCAGCUAGACAAAUAGGAAGUAUAAUCUCCUUCAUUUAAAUUGAUCAUAUGAUUUGGACAAUUGGAAUUUCAGUAGAAAUUCUUGACUUUAGAAUUGAAGACUCCCCUAAGCUUGUUGGCUAGUAUAGGGAAUCUUAGUAACAAAGGGCAUAAAGUCACAUAGUUUAUGAUAGUUUUAAUCAUAGUUUAUGAUUUUUUGAAGAUGAAGGAGAUGUGGCAUUUCUUGCAUCACAAUGUUUUGAGCAAAGUGUAGCCAGUUCACCUUGAGUGUGCACAAAAGCCAGCCUUGCCGCCUCCUGCUAGCUUUUGUCGGUGCAAGUAUGCCUGGCAGUUUGACUUGAGAAUGGCAUUAAGGACUUGCCAUGGUGCUGACAUGAGAAGUGAGAAAUGGCAAGUGCAUGGAACUAGCACAGGGAGCAAAGGGUCAGUGUUUCAAUACCAGCCAUGGCUUAGUUGAUAAGAUACUGCAAAUGAGUACUUCAUGUGUGUGUGUGAGUCUCUGUGUGUCACAUAAGAAGCAUAUAUUGUGUUAUGUGCACAAUGGCCAGUGAAUUUGAUGCCUCUGUUAUGGAUGCUAUUGGAUGUGUCAGCACUUCUUCCAUUCCCUUCUGUCUUGAGGUGUGUGGAAAUUUCUCCUGUGCCAUCCUUUACUUUGAUAAAGGAAUUGAAAAUAAGGUCUCCUCUCUUUGCUUUUGACUUCUCCAUUCAUAUAAUUGGUUUUCCUCCUUUGCUCAGUGCUCCCUAUGGUCACAUCAUAUUACAAAUUAUUAUAUAAUAAAAGUUGUUGCCUUGUAUUUUCUUUCCUACCUGUUUCCUACAGAACUUGGGAGAAAUGAAAGGAAUUGACCCAGGUUAAGAUGACAAAAAUAAUUAUCCCUCGUUUAAAAGAAGAAAAGUUUACAUUAAUAGACUAAUUCAAAUUUAUUUAAUUUUGCACAGAAUUAAAAAAAGCAUCUCACUGAAAAGUAACAUGAAAAAGAAUAUUAAAAUUCUUGAUAAGUUAAGGGGUUAGAAACUACCAUUUAUUGACUAUGAAUAGGGUACCAUCUAGAAAUUCAGUAACUGAGCUGAGAAAUUGAUGUUAUCCCAUUUUACAGGGAAAGAAACCAAGCUUCAGGGAUGUUAAUAAAUGCUAAGGACAUAUUAGUAGGAAGUGGGAGAGGCUGGAUUUGUAUUUAGAUGUGUCUGAUUCCAACUAAACUUUACUAUGCUGGUUUCCAACUGUCUUUAAAUUCAGAGUGUUCUUAAAAUUUCAGUACUGUACAUUCUAAAUUGAAAGCACUGUAUUUCAUUUCUAAGUAAGAUCAUCUUUUCCCUUUGCCAGAAAUAAUAUCUUUGAUUGCUCUAGCGCUUGGUUUGUAUGAAUUGCUUUCCUUGUUUUCUCAAUGCCAUGCAGGGAUUUAAAGUUCCUUGCUGUUAAAAACAGAGAUGAGUUACCUCAUUUUUGAAAUUCCUACACUGAGUUUCAAAAGCAAAAACAUGUCAUUAGGAGCUUAGGCUCAGAAUCUGAAUUUCAUCUUCUCUGCUUACUUACUGCAUAAUAGUGGCCACAUUCCUUAAUUAGGCUGUACCUCAAUAUCUCUAUCUGUAAAACAGAGGUAAUAUCAUCAAUAUAAAGAUUAAAAUAGUUAAUGUGUUAAUACAAUUAAAGUGCUUUUAAACAGAGCCUGACACACAAACAUCACCAAUAAAAUUUUUAUUUCUACCCAGGCAUGGCAAUCAUAAAGAGACAAUCAUUUUCAUUUUCUGGAACAUAGGAUAUUAGUUUCCUAAGGAUCCUUUCCUUCCAUGUCUUCCUGUUAACUAUCUGCUAGGGUUAUACCAGCUGCGCAUGGUGCUUUUUCACUCAAGAGGAAGACAUCUGAAAAUAGGCCUGUCUGUCUCUUUUAUUUUUAAAUUCAUACAUUUGUAAUGAAAAAAGCAAACUGAUCAUCAUUGGAGGAUCUUAGUGGACCAACUCAGUAUUUUGAAAAUUGGUCAGUACAGCAACAUACUAAAGGCCUAUCCUUCAUUUCCUGUGUGGACUGUCCUACUAGAUAAUCAAUAGUAGAAAAGGAAUUAUUUCUUUUCACGGAAGAGUGCAUGGAUCUAGGCAUUGGACAUCAAUACCCCUAAGAUCAAAGAGAGACAUAGAUAGAUAGACAGAUAGAUAGAUAUAUAGAUAGAUAGAUUAUGUGAUUCCAUUUAAUUGAACAUACCAUCAAUAAAGUAGUCUUAUUAAACACUAUAAUUUAUGGAGUUCCCAUUGUGGCUCAGCAAUAACGAACCUGAUUAGUAUCCGUGAGGACAUGGGUUCAGUCCCUAGCCUUGCUCAGUGGGUUAAGGAUCUGAUGCUGCUGUGAGCUGUGGUGUAGGUUGCAGACAUGGUUUAGUGUUGCUUAGGCUGUGGUGUAGGCAGGCAGCUUCAGCUCUGAAUUGACCACUAACGUGGGAACUUCCAUUUGACGUGGGUGCAACCC